UGGUGAUUGCACUUACACUUACGUAGUAAGUGAUGAUUCAAAUGGGCAUAUGGAAGACACAGAGGGUUCAUGAGAGGAAACUGAUGAUUUCGAUGAGCAUAUGGAAGACACAGACUGUGCAAGAGUGGAAAAUGAUGAUUUGGAUGAGCAUAUGGAAGACGCAGACGGUACAGGACAGGAAGCCUCUUCUGACUGUGCACUUUUCAGAGGUAAAGUGUACCGGGACUUGACAAUAGAAGAUCUGAAUGGUGUUGAGUUCAAGAAUUUUGAAGAGGUGGAACUGUUUUACUCCUAUUAUUCACUGGCGAAUGGUUUCAGUAUGAGGAAGAAAAAAUUGGACUGGAAUAGUUCUGGAACAGUAAUAAUUAGAAGAGAGCUGGUUUUCUCAAAAGAAGGAAGGAGAAAAGAAACAGGGAAGGAGGGCAUGCGUGAGAAUCCCACGCAGAAGUCGCAAAAUUUUGUUGUGAAGGAUUGUCAGCAUAUGCUCAAACGGAAAACAAAGUGCGUUGGGCAAAGCAGUGGCCAAAAACAGUGCACAAAGACUCGCAGGCAAACUAGGGCGUAUUGUCCGGCAGCAUUCGCUGUUAAUGGUGUGCCAAAAAGAAAAUCUACUAUGCCUCAAAGUUCAUCACAUAACACAACCAUCCUUUGGCCAGAGAUGAGCAUCUUCAGUUCCUCAAUUCACAUAGGCAUGUUAGUGACCACGCCAUCGCCCAAGUUAGGGCAAUGCAGCAGGUUUCAGUGCCGAAGUGUCGUGCUUUUGAGCUACUUGUGCACCAAGCUGGAGGCCGAGAUUACGUCGGAUUCACAAUUAGGGACUUGUAUAACAAGUUGAAGGCUGAGAAGGGGGAUUUAUUGUUGGAUGGUGAUGCCCAGGCUUCAAUCACUUGGAUGAAGAUGAAUGCAAUGCGAGAUCCCCACUUUUAUUGUGUAUACAGUUCUAAUGAGAAUGGGAGGCUAGCCAAUAUGUUCUGGAGAGAUGGGCAGUCUUUGUCUGAUUUCACAAAUUUUGGUGACGUACUUAUAUUCGAUAGCACUUGCAAGAGCAAUAUAUAUGACAAGCCACUGGCUGUCUUUGUUGGGUUGAAUAAUCAUAGAGCCACUGUUCUAUUCGGAUGUGCAUUGUUGGUGAAUGAAACAGAGGAAACCUAUAAUUGGGUUUUCAACGCUUUCCUGACCUCAAUGCAUGGGAAAAAACCCAUCUCCGUGAUCACUGAUGGAGAUGAUGCAAUGCAUAAUGCAGUACUUAAUCUGUUACCUGAGGCUCGUCACCGUCUUUGUGCAUGGCACAUUGGACAAAAUGUGCGAAAACAUUUGAAAGACGGAGACGUCCAGAAAGAGUUUUUCCAUUUGAUAUUUGCAGGCUUGACCAUUAAUGAAUGGGAAUCUGCGUGGAAAUACUUUGUUGCAAUGAACAGACUGGAAAAUAAUAAAUGGGUUGCCAGUAUGUAUGGCAAACGUGAUCGGUGGGCAGAGGCUUUCUUCUGACAUCAAUUUUUUGCUGGUGUGAGGGGACACACAGAAAUUUGAAAGGAGGUAUUGAGCAUUGCAUGAAGCUGUGCAUGUUUUUGCCACGUAUGCAGAAGAACAUUGAGCGUUCAAGGCAUCGGGUUUUGGAGGAUGAGUUCCGCUCAGAGCAGUGUGAGCCAGUGUAUGGUGAGCACCUGCGUUGUUUGCAAGAGCAGAUUGGUAAAAUUUUCACUCAUGACAUCUUCCUCUUAAUCAAGGAUCAGAUUAACUUUGAGUCAAAGUUUGUUAUGGUUUCUAGAGAAGUUAAUUCCCACAUUGGAGCUUGGACUAUUACAUUCACCCAAUUUGGUAAGCUCGAGCGGAAUGGGAUGUAGUUUACCAACCAGAUGAGAAGAACCCCAGAUUUGCAUGUUCCUGGAAUCUCUUUGAGUCUGAUGGGAUUCCGUGUUGCCACAUAUUUGCAACAAUGAAAUCUGAAAUGAUUACCAGGUUCCCGGAAUCAUUAGUAAAUGACAGAUGGAAAAAAGACACUGGUCGGAACAAGAUAUUAAUUCCAUCAGGUCCAGCAGAUGAAAAGUUUAUGAGGAUGGCAACGUACGGUGAAUUAAUGGGAAUUUUUGCAAAACUUUCCCAUGCCGCUAUGCAUAGUAAGGAAGGGUAUGUUGAGAUAAGGGAAGCUCUUACGCAGAUGGCCCUAAAAUCUGAAAAAUACAAAGCUGCAACAAGAGACCCCGAUGAUGUCCCCUUUGAAGGUCUCCAUCCUAAUGUGAUCAGAGACCCUGUUGUUUGUAGGACAAAAGGCGACAAGUCUAAGGCCAGCAUUCCCGACAACGAGGAAGACUACAAGUCCAAAGUUGGAAAGGGGUGCUCACUUUGCAAAAUGAUCGGGCACAACGCCAGAACAUGUGAUCUUAAAAAUAAGGGAAAACAGAGUGGGAAGCGAGCUACACAGCAGACCAAAGUGAAGAGAUGUACGAAGCAAGUUGUUGAAAACAUGUCUGAAAAUAGCAGUUCUGAUUGUGAUACUGGUGACAGCAGUGGUUAUGAAGAUGAAUCUACCACCAUGCCUCAACGCACCAUGACCAGUUUGAUGCAUAGCUUGGAAGAGGCUCGGCCAUUAGAGUUUUUUACCGGUUAUGAGAGAGGUAACAAUCUGGAAUCAGGAUCCACAAGUUCUGGUCUUCCCAUCUUUAAACACUUCAAGCCCUUCCCGGAUGAGUGAUGAACAUAGUACUUUAUGCCUCAGACAUGCCGGAUAUACUUCAAUGAAGAAGUUGGAAUAGUCACCUCUUGCUUAUUUUGAAGUCUCUGGUGUUUGUAAUCGCCAUGUUUUUGCAUAUGACUGAAAUGUUAUGAUCAUUGUGGAUUUGAGAGGCAACUUUAUACAUGGUGUUUCUGAGGAAGAUAUGAAUU